AUUUUAACCAAGGGACUGCUGGCCAGGGAAAAGUCGAUAAAGCCAUUGCACGACGCUGCAAGAGGCCAGAACGAUGGAGGGAUGUGACCGGAGCUGCAUCGUGUGAGGCUCAUGUGAUUCCCCUUAACCUAAAUGCGGAUAUACAUCUUAAUUUGCGAAAAUGUAUUCUACUAUCUAAAAUGUUGAUUAUGGAUUAACAUGUUGUAAUUGAGGGGUUCAUUCAUUUUUAAAGUCCCCUUUCAGUCAAAAAUGUAUUUUUCUAAUUCUGACUUCACUUUGAUAUUCGACCGUCAGUGCAGAAUGAUGAAUGGGUUUGAAACUAGAAGGCUGUUUUCACAUUCUUCUGCUGAAGGGGAAAGGUCCUCUGUGCUCAACUCAAAUGUCAGACAUGUUUAACACGCUAUGCACCAACAUAACUCUGUGACAUCAUACAGAGUUUUGAUGUGUGAUGUGUAAACUUACAGUCUGUACACUUCAACUGCGAAUGGACUUUUCUGUAUAAUAAGUGAUGGCUUGUAUAGAAGUUUUCUUUUUUUAAUAGUUUUUUUUUCAGAAAUUCUAGAUUUUGGAACCUGUUAGUAAACUUUUAAGUAAACUCAUAGUCGACUUUAAACUGUAAAUGUUAGUAUGUCAUUGACAAAAUUGUCGAUCACUAGAAUAAGAACCCAAAUCUGGAACUGUUCAUGUUCAGUAGCUGUUAAUUAAUAGAUUGUGGCCCAGGUGCCCUGCAUCAAAAGUUUAUAAUCACAUAUCUGUCUUUACGACAAAGCAACCCAAACUAAAAUGAAUUCAUAACCAAGCUUUUAUUACAGCCUCUAAACUCUUUUUAAAAUAUGCCUUAUUAAAAAGGCAGCAACCAAAAGUCCAAUGAAAUCAGAAUACUGUAUAUCAAGCUCAUAUCACCUCUAAGUUGUUGUUUUUUGGAGAAUUUCUAUUGUAAAAAUAUUCAUGUUUUAUUUUACUAUACUUUCCUGCACAUUUUUACUUCAUUUGUGAUCUUCCUCCUGUCUGCUUUUCAUUUGAUAUGCCAAAACUUGAGUGGGUCAAUCAUCCUGAUAUGCAAGUUUACUUUGUCAUUUAAAUCUAACAAAAGAACAUUCUGGUGACCAUUGAGAGAAACACUUAAAAUCUUGGGUAACUGAAAUUAUGGCACAGAUGUCAGCCUACAAAAUCGGGCUUAUCUUCUGCUUGAAUGUGAAAUGUACCAUUAGGAAGGACAGUUCAUCUGUGGAGGUAUUGAGCCUUUGUUUACAGCUAUCAGUAAGACUUAGUAAAGACAAUGUGAUUACGGGUCCAUCCAUGCUGUGAAAAUGUUACUGACACUAAAAGAUACAAAGAUAACCUAUCAGUCCUGAUCUCAUUAUCAACUGUUAAAGUGUACUUAGAAGAUGCCUAAUGUGCCUUAACUGCAGUUGAAUGUAUUGAAUUACGAUGAUGGGGUAACAUUGGAAAUGUAGAAGAAAAAUGACCUAACAUCAUAUAAUCUACAACAUUGUUUUGUAAAUUAGCUAUAAGAAAAUGAAGAAAUGUUCAAAUCAAAAGUCACACUUUUUGAAACUUGGGAAAUUAUUGAAUUUGUAAAGUAACAUAUCAAAAAGAGUUUUCUCAAAGUGAAAAUUUCUACAGUCAGAAUUUGCAUCUAACACUUUCCCAGGCUGUAGCUACAGCCUUUAUUUGCCUAAUUUUCAUCACUAUAGAUAUUUAUGAGAAAAAAGACCCUCUAAUUGGCCAAACCACAGCCUGGGCUAUGUGCCCAAGAGGGCCCUCUCAAUUCAUCAGCUGUGAUAAAGGGAGACAAGCCAGGGCCUGUGUGGCUCCUGCACCUGGGGCAGCGGGCCGUUUUGAACCGGGUGGGAUUCUGUUUCCAUCAACAGGAUUAGGCUCUUAUGAGUCAGGUCUUGGGAGUUAAGAUUGGAAUCUGUUUGGGUUGUUUCACACUGGCUAAAGCGACAGAAUUUCACCCUAAUUGUUUACCAUGUCAGCCCCGGCAAUUCAGCGUCAAUUAAACAAAGCCCAGUAAACAGACACAUUCAACAGCAGCUCAGUGACAUAAUGUUUAAACAGAGAGGAGUUUGUGUUUGGUCCCGUUACCAAGCCACCUUGCUUUGUGGCAUCGCUUAUGUAUGAAACAGGGGUGCAAAGUCUUAAUUAUAGCAAAUAAAGGAUAGAAAACAGAAAACCGUAGACAAAGAUUCCUAUUAUGGAUCUAACGGGAGUGUUAAGAAAGGCUGUUUAGCAAUUUACAAGGAGGCUAAGAGUGAGAAAAGAGUUUAAAAAAUGUGAGACGUUGAGUGGAAGUAGUUCCAAUACACAAAAAAAUGAAGUAAUGAUUAAAAAAUAGACUGAGUUUA